AAUAGAUACCCAGGUAGUCCACGCCCUAAACGAUGAUAACUGGCUAUGAGGAGUAUCGACCCUCUUCGUGGCGAAGCUAACGCGUUAAGUUAUCCGCCUGGGUAGUACGGCCGCAAGGCUAAAACUCAAAGGAAUAGGCGGGGACUUGCACAAGCGGUGGAUCAUGCGGCUCAAUUCGAUGAUAAACGAAGAACCUCACCAGGGUUUGAAACCAAGACGAAAGCUCUAGGAAACUAGAGUCCUCGCAAGACGGCUUGGCAGGUGAUGCAUGGUCGUCGUCAGUUCGUGGCUUGAGUUGUUCCCUUCAGUGGGGUAACGAACGCAACCCGCGUUGCCUGUUAUACAUGUCAGGCGAGACUGCCCCCCUNACGGGGGAGAAGGUGCGGAUGACGCCAGAUCAGCAUGUCCCUCUGAUAUCCUGGGCUGCACGCAUGAUACAAUGCACUCGACAACGGGACGCGACGGAGUAAUCCUGAGCAAAUCCUUAUAAACGAGUGCCCAGUUCGGAUUGAGGGCUGCUAACCG
rnacentral:rRNA from 1 species